UACGAAGGGGGCUAGCGUUGCUCGGAAUUACUGGGCGUAAAGGGCUCGUAGGCGGCCAACUAAGUCCGACGUGAAAUCCCCAGGCUUAACCUGGGAACUGCGUCGGAUACUGGAUGGCUUGAAUUCGGGAGAGGGAUGCAGAAUUCCAGGUGUAGCGGUGAAAUGCGUAGAUAUCUGGAGGAAUACCGGUGGCGAAGGCGGCAUCCUGGACCGACAUUGACGCUGAUGAGCGAAAGCUAGGGGAGCAAACGGG
rnacentral:rRNA from 1 species